UCCGGCUUGCCACCGGCAGUUCCACUAGAGUGCCCAGCUUAACCUGAUGGCAACUAGCAGCGAGGGUUGCGCUCGUUGCGGGACUUAACCCAACAUCUCACGACACGAGCUGACGACAGCCAUGCACCACCUGUAUAGGACCCUUACGGACCCCCCAUCUCUGGAGGAUUUCCCUAUAUGUCAAACCCAGGUAAGGUUCUUCGCGUUGCAUCGAAUUAAAGAACAUGCUCCGCUGCUUGUGCGGGCCCCCGUCAAUUCUUUUGAGUUUUAGCCUUGCGGCCGUACUCCCCAGGCGGGGUGCUUAAUGCGUUAGCUUCGGCACGGAGAGGGUUGAAGACCUCCCCACACCUAGCACCCAACGUCUACGGCUGGGACUAC
rnacentral:misc_RNA from 1 species